CCUACGGGUGGCAGCAGUGAGGAAUAUUGGUCAAUGGACGAGAGUCUGAACCAGCCAAGUAGCGUGAAGGAUGACUGCCCUAUGGGUUGUAAACUUCUUUUAUAUGGGAAUAAAAUGUUCCACGUGUGGGAUUUUGUAUGUACCCUAUGAAUAAGGAUCGGCUAACUCCGUGCCAGCAGCCGCGGUAAUACGGAGGAUCCGAGCGUUAUUCGGAUUUCUUGGGUUUAAAGGGAGCGUAGGUGGGUUGUUAAGUCAGUUGUGAAAGUGUGCGGCUUAACCGUAAAAUCGCAGUUGAAACUGGCAGUCUUGAGUACAGUAGAGGUAGGCGGAAUUCGUGGUGUAGCGGUGAAAUGCUUAGAUAUCACGAAGAACUCCGAUUGCGAAGGCAGUUCACUGGACUGCAACUGACACUGAGGCUCGAAAGUGUGGGUAUCAAACAGGAUUAGAUACCCUUGUAGUC
rnacentral:rRNA from 1 species